UCGAACGGCAGCACGGGGGCAACCCUGGUGGCGAGUGGCGAACGGGUGAGUAAUACAUCGGAACGUGCCCAGUAGUGGGGGAUAGCCCGGCGAAAGCCGGAUUAAUACCGCAUACGACCUACGGGUGAAAGCGGGGGAUCGCAAGACCUCGCGCUAUUGGAGCGGCCGAUGGCAGAUUAGCUUGUUGGUGGGGUAAUGGCCCACCAAGGCGACGAUCUGUAGCUGGUCUGAGAGGACGACCAGCCACACUGGGACUGAGACACGGCCCAGACUCCUACGGGAGGCAGCAGUGGGGAAUUUUGGACAAUGGGCGCAAGCCUGAUCCAGCCAUGCCGCGUGCGGGAAGAAGGCCUUCGGGUUGUAAACCGCUUUUGUCAGGGAAGAAAAGCUCCGAGCUAAUACCCCGGAGUCAUGACGGUACCUGAAGAAUAAGCACCGGCUAACUACGUGCCAGCAGCCGCGGUAAUACGUAGGGUGCGAGCGUUA
rnacentral:rRNA from 1 species